GUUCAGAGAACUGAAAUCUCUCCGUGCGGAGACCUAAAUGCAGUUUUCUGAGAAGCUGUAUAACUGGCCGGGCUUGUUUAAAGUUAAGAGUUUAACUCUAUUGACUUUACUGCUUUGCUGUUCGGUUGUACUUGAGUGACUUCAUUAAAGAGGAGGGUAGUUACUUAAUCGCACAAUCCAACCUACCAGUGUCACUCGCAGUUUCCUGUUCUAUUCUUAUUCGGUGAGCUGAGAGUGAAUCCUUUUUCACGAGACCUUUUUUUCAAGAUCUCUUCGUGAUUUCAUUUGAACAAAAAUCUUCUCCUUACUCUGCGAGAUUUAUUUCUGAGCAUUUUCUUAAGAGAGCGUGUUGGAAAAUAGCACUUUGGGAUUUGCUUUAAACACGUGUCUAGUUUGGUUAAUGUCCUUUGAAACGCUACACGGCUGCAUGGGAGGACGCUGGCAUACAUUGUAAGGGAUAGCUGGCGUCUCCACACACCCCGCUUACCUUCAUUUAGCAUCUGUAAUACAGUAAUGCUUUAGGCCCUCUAUGAAUCCCUCAUAAAGCAGCCAUUGUGUACUCACAAUUCCUAAAGAGUUUAUCCUCUAAGAGCAGGAGACAAUUAGUGCCCAAGACAAGGGGCAGCCCAACAGGACAGCGAGAGGUUGAGGAGCUGUGGCCGCGGCCCAGCUGAGCAGAUGCUGCUGCCUCGCAGCGGGGACGGUGUUUGAGGAGGGCCUCGGAGGACAGCAGUGCAGGAUCUGUGCAGCCGCUGCUGGUUUCCCUUGGGCUGGGCAGUUCCCGUGUACCUUCAUAUUUAGCAAGUGAUGGAGUGCUGGUGCUGCCGUGACACAGGCACGGCCGCUGAGAGGCUGAGUUUAAAACAAGGCAUCAAGAAGAUGUUACAAAUACUAGGACCAGAACUCAAAGAGCUCCCCAAUAAAAAGCGAGCACCUAAUCUCAUCAUAUCAUUUGAACACAGACAUAUACACUUCUUCAGAAGUUCUCUGGAUGUUUCCAUUUGUCAGGUUUCAUAUUUUCUUCGGUGGCAGACCUGCCACAGUUAGCAGUGAAGAAAAGGCUAGUAGAAACUGGCAGAUAGAUGACCUUAACUGGGAUCAAUACAAAAAGCUUCAGGAGCUUAUGAAAUAAAACGCUUUGAAGUAAAAUGCA
rnacentral:lncRNA from 1 species